GUCCACGCCGUAAACGAUGAGCACUAGUUAUUGGGGGUAUUGACUCCCUCAGUGACGCAGCUAACGCAUUAAGUGCUCCGCCUGGGGAGUACGGUCGCAAGACUAAAACUCAAACAAAUUGACGGGGGCCCCGCACAAGCGGUGGAUUAUGUGGUUUAAUUCGAAGCAACGCGCAGAACCUUACCUAGGCUUUAACUCCUACGAACCCGAAGUAAUGUUUGGGGUGUCCGCAAGGAAAUGUAGUGAGAGGUGCUGCAUGGCUGUCGU
rnacentral:rRNA from 1 species